UUAGUCUAGUACUAGUACAUAUAAGAAGAACAUGAAGGCGAAGAAAUAAAUAUUUUAGCAAGAGAGGGAGCAAAAUUCAACCCACUUGUCACUUCGAGUUUAUACAAUCUGGCAUCAAAUCCAUUGGAAUUAUUGGCCCAGCACUCGUAGACACCACUGUCAUUCAAUUUCAAAUUCAUCAACUGUAACCUGCCCGAACCACUUUUAAUAACCACUUUAUCUUUAACCCAGGAGAUCAGUGGUGCUGGAUAACCUUCGGCAGCACACUCUAAGGUGAUUCCACCGCUCACUUUUGACCAUGCGUAACGGUUCUUCCUGUGGUCAAGUAUUUUUG
rnacentral:lncRNA from 1 species